rnacentral:rRNA from 1 species
CCUACGGGAGGCAUCAGUAAGGAAUAUUGGACAAUGCCCGCAAGGGUGAUCCAGCCAUGCCGCGUGCAGGAAGAAGGCCCUAUGGGUCGUAAACUGCUUUUACACCGGAGAAAACCUCCCUUCGUGAAGGGAGCUGACAGUAUGGUGAGAAUAAGCAUCGGCUAACUUCGUGCCAGCAGCCGCGGUAAGACGAAGGAUGCAAGCGUUAUCCGGAUUCAUUGGGUUUAAAGGGAGCGUAGGUGGACUGAUAAGUCAGUGGUGAAAUCUUCGAGCUUAACUCGGAAAUUGCCAUUGAUACUGUUAGUCUUGAGUACAGUUGCUGUGGGCGGAAUAUGACAUGUAGUGGUGAAAUACAUAGAGAUGUCAUAGAACACCGAUUGCGAAGGCAGCUCACAAAGCUGUAACUGACACUGAGGCUCGAAAGUGGNGGGAGUACAACAGAGUAGUAUACCUACGUAGUCGCACUAGUAACGAUAGUAUUACUACGUC